UAAAACCAAAGUCAUUGAGAAGCAAACUGUCAGAGAUGGAAGUGCAGAUAGCAUGGUGUGUGGCUAUUUCUCUCCUGGUUACAGGAUCCACCGACGGAGAGAUCCAGCAGCCACCAAGUUUCAUUGUGGAGAAGGGAGAACCAGUUCGCUUUCAAUGCAAGCAAAGCAACAACCAUGAUGCCAUGUAUUGGUACCAGCAGCUGCAGGGGAAGGGCCUUCAGCUUCUGUAUUUCUCCAGAGCAAAUAUUCCUGAUUCUGAGAAAAAAGAAACCAAUGAUGGGAGAUUCAGUGCUCAGCGAUUGCAAGAUGAAGAAUUUGACUUAAGCAUAUCCUCUGUUGAGAUGGAGGAUUCAGCUACAUAUUUUUGUGCUAGCAGCUUACACAGUAGUGGCAAGAGUCCUCCUCAGUGUACAAUAACUCUCCUGUCUGUAUAUCUUUUCGGCAGGAAGGAGGAAAGGAGUGAGGGAGGCGGGCAGCUGCCGUGCACUGGAGCAGGCCGCCUGAAGCAGCAGCAGCUGCUGUGCUCCUCCAGCACUACUUGGCUCCCACUUCAGCCUCCCUGA